GACGAACGCUGGCGGCGUGCUUAACACAUGCAAGUCGAACGGAAAGGCCUGCUUUCCCUUGUGGAUUGCGGGUACUCGAGUGGCGAACGGGUGAGUAACACGUGAGUGAUCUGCCCCCAACUUGGGUAUAAGCCUGGGAAACUGGGUCUAAUUCCCGAUAGGACUGCAGGGUGGUGCCUGUGGUGGAAAACGAUUUUCCAGUGGUUGGGGAUGAGCUCGCGGCCUAUCAGCUUGUUGGUGGGGUAAUGGCCUACCAAGGCGGCGACGGGUAGCCGGCCUGGGAGGGUGGACGGCCACAUUGGGACUGAGAUACGGCCCAGACUCCUACGGGAGGCAGCAGUGGGGAAUAUUGCACAAUGGGCGGAAGCCUGAUGCAGCGACGCCGCGUGGGGGAUGACGGCCUUCGGGUUGUAAACUCCUUUCGACCGCGAGGAAGCCACCUGGUUGGAAGGGUGGUGACGGUAGUGGUAGAAGAAGCACCGGCUAACUACGUG
rnacentral:rRNA from 1 species